AACUUUCAAACUUGAGGUACGAAAACUUAGAAUGACUAAAAGGUCAGGUACUGUUGGGGCAAUUUUCCCAAAAAAUUAAUUAAAAUACAAAUGGACAAAAAUACCUUUCAAUAUAUUCCAUGUGACAAACGCCGUAACGGUCAAAUGGGUUCCAGGUACUUAUGUUAGGUCGGGGAGUGAGCGUCAAGUACUAAUCUGACAUGUUUUUAAGUUGAAGUACCAAAGUUACUGAUGGAAAGAAGGUCGGGUACGGUCCGCAUUUUACUUUAAUCUCGCCUAUUUAGGAGUUGAGACAUAUAUAGUAUCCGUACCUGUUGCAGUCAUCUCGUAUUGUAGGUUAUCUGUUUAACCUACCAAACUUUAUUUUAGUUUCUUAGUUUAGAUGGCUCUGAUCACCUUGGAGAUGUUAUCUAAAUUGCAGUAUUCUUUUUUAGGGUUUAUUACCCAAGGAUUUGAUGUAAUUUAAUUUGAGGAUCUUUUGUUGGAAUAUUGGUACUUGAGUUAUGAUUUUGUUUUGUUGGUUGUGGAGUUGUUUGGAUUGGGGAGCAUGGUGGCUCCAAGAGAAUAAGGUUCGAUUGUUAGAAGUGUAAAUGUGUUCUUACAGGUUUUCGGUUGCCUACUUUUAGGGGAGGUUCUGCCGAAUUUUUGGUAAAACCUUCUUUACAAUUGGGCCUUGCAGGCCACCACGGAUUUUGGGGUGAAAUUUCAAGGCGGGUCUUGUCAGAUUUGGUACAGUCGCAGAAGAGAAGAGGAGGUUUGGUGUCUCUAUUUUUUGAGAUUUUUGUUGGGCAGGUGGGUGAGGGAUUAAAUAUAUUAUGUGAAAUUAGCGAGGAUCUUAAGUGGAUCAUGAUGGAGUGAAUUGUACAAGGUCCCAGAAAGGAGAUCCCACAGUUCUUGGGAUCCCAUGUACAUUAGGGGCGGUGAUCUAUGAUAUCUAAUUACAACGAUAGUGUUAUUGGGUGUUUUCCCACCCGAUUUUUGAAGUGGACAAAGUUAUCUAAGUUAACUGGACCUGGAUUUUUGAUAGCGCCUGGUUCUCACAACAAAGACCAGAUGGCUAACUAGAUGAAUGGAUUGGUUGAUUGGGAGGUUUGGUUUUGGUUUAUGGCUUGGAAUUGAAAUUUGUCACAUCAAUCAAUAUGUCCAGUUCAAUUAUUCAAGGUGCAAUGAAGUCUUUGUUCUUGUUGGAGGGAGAUUAGUCGUACUAAUUAAUGGAUUACGUGGGUUAUGGGUUUGAGUGCGAGAAAAUUGAAGCAUGUUUGCAGGUGUGAAUGUUAGGUAAGUUUUGAAUUUACAUUUUGUGUAGGUGGGUGGUUGCGAGUGAGGUGGUUGAUGGUGACGCGUAUGGAGUGGAGGAGGUGAUUAGGGACUGGGCUUUUGGGAGGGCUAGCUUGUUUGGGAAUUGGAUGGUGGAGGAGAGGUGGAGAGAUAGAUAGAGAGAGAGAGAGAGAGAGAGAGAGAGAGAGAGAGAGAGAGAGAGAGAGAGAGAGAGAGAGAGAGAGAGAGAGAGAGAGAGAGAGAGUGUGUGUGUGUGUGUGUGUGUGUGUGUUGGUGGCCACCAUGGCCAUUAGGAGAAGCAAGUUGAGAUCCAUUGUGAAACCCAUUAAUUUUGAGUUUCCUUCUUCUUGAAUCAUGUGAGUUUGGGAGUUGCAGAUUGUGAGAGUGAUCCCAGAAAUUUGGGAUGUUCAGGAAGUAUGCAGAGGGAGUUGCCGAGAGAAAGAGAGGAAAAAAAAAUGCUUGAAGAAAUAAAAAAUGUAGAAAUGAUGGAAAAUGUCAUAUUAGAGUGUGAAAUGAUAAAAAGGUCACAUUGUUUCCUACUUGAUAAAAAGUUCCAUAAUGAAUUGUUAGUAAUAUUAAAUUUGUUCUUAUGAAUAAUGAGGCGAUAUUAAAAAAGGUCAGUUUUUAAUUUUUUUAUUCCGAUUCUGCCUUUAAAGUUAAUACACGUUUAUAACUAUGCAUUCAAAAUCACAGAGCUCAAGAUCAGUUGCUGACCUUGCUGUCCCACAGGUUGGCCACCUCCCCCCAAGAUCAGUUGAAGCAUUGGCAUUACUGCAUGGCCUUCGAUUCGCAGCUCAUGUUGGUUUCUCUCACAUUGAAAUUGAAGGUGAUGCACUCUCAGUUAUCAAUAGCCUACAUGAUAAUUCGGAAGAUUUGAGUUUUGAAGGUCAUUUAAUUGAUGAAGUUAAGUCUUUAAUUCAGUCUUUUUCUUUUUGUAGUUGCCAUUUUGUGAAACGGGAGGGGAACAAGGUUGCUCACCGUUUAGCAAAAGAGGCUUUAAAAGUUAGUCAACCGUUACUUUGUUUGGAGUCGGGGCCUAUUUGGCUCCAUCAGUCUGUCAGUAUGGAUUUCCAGUGUGAAGUCUAGUUGGGUCGAUUGUCUUGCGAUAGUAACCAUGUUGGUGCUCUUGCGGACUUUUGCUCCACAACUCAUUGUAAUUCAUUCAUUGUUAAUGAAGUUCCUAUUUGAUCAAAAAAAAAAAUCACAGAGCUCAAAUUUUCUGUCUCUUUUGAUCAGAAAGCUUGAUUCGAUUUUGAUCGGACAUUCUAUCUCCGAGUUUCUCUCUCCGCCGCCAGCUUCCGAUUGCGCUUCAUCUCUUUACGACGAUCUGAAAUCUCAGUUUUGAAUGGUUUUGGAGCUUCAAUCCACAUCUUUCUUCUCUUUUUCUCGAUCUUUGUCUUCGUCACUCUUCCCUUUGAUCACGUCACUUCUUCUUCUUCUUCUUCAUGUACUCAGUCCUUGGUUACAAAGAGGUUGAUUGAGACUAUGAGAUUGGAGGCAUAUGAGACUGUGACUUCAUCUGUAUCGCUCUUUCCCUGUUCAUGCAUGCACGCGCUUAGAUAUCCCGAUCGGUUUUCCGAUCCACGACUGGUACCGGAAUUUCGUCUUUAAUCCUGGAACGACAUUGUCAGUGUACAUGGCUCAGGAAAAGUAUUAUCAACGCUCUUUGUUCGGUAGCUAGCAUCUUCUCUAAUAGAUUUCAGGUUGGCCUAUUUUCAAAUUUGUUUCUUCAAUUUGUGGCUGUGUUUAUGAAGAGUUACUGAUGAGGGUGUGGACAACUGGAGGAUGUGAGCAUUGUUCAUCAGGUUCGUGAUCAGCAGGGCUAAUUCACUCCAGAAAGCUGGUAGUGAUGGUUUGGGGUUUGGGUGAGGAACUAGAUGGAGCCUACACUUUAUUCAGUUUUUUGCUAGAAAUUAGUUGUCUGAUGGUGGAUGAAAAUGAUAGCUGUAUUCAAUUCGAGCUGGUUCACCCAAAUGAGAUGAGAGGAAUAUAUGCAGUCUGUUUCUUCUUUCUGUGGAUUUGGCUCUCUAUUUCUAUCCCUUGCUGUUCAAUCUUUGAGCCGCCCUUGGGAUAGGUCUUAUUUUUGGAUAUGUGAUUAUAGAAGCUUAUCAAUGCAAUAUUAUGCAAGGCAGAUUAACUGAAAGUGAGAUUAAGAUAAGCCCUCGAAGCCUAUAUCUGUACAUAAAUUCAUUUAGAACACAGGUCAGUUUUGGAAUUAUUAGUAAUUCUAAUUCAAUCUACCUAAUGAAGAGUGAGAUACAAUUUGAAGGUUGCCUGUAUCCUAUUCAUUAUUUGAAGCAUUAACUAUCUGUAUUAAUUUGUUGAUGCAAUUCAGAAUGACAAGAUGGAGAGCGUUGGAUCCGAAACUGAGGCAUAUGCCAUUGCUAACAUGAUGAAAGUAUUAUUAGUUUUAAAGGUUUCAGCUGAAAAUGUGGUCCGAGCUGUGGAGGAGUCUGUGAGACAAGAACUUCUCAGUUCCAUUCAAUCUUCACCAGAUGCCACGGCAGCCCCACCUCCAAAACCCCAGGUUAAAAGAAACAAAGUAGUUAUAUCUAUUCAAGGCAAGGAUGGAGUCAAGCAGUACAUUUGUAUCUCAAGUACAUUUUUAUAGAUGGAAAUAAAGAGAGAAAUCACUAGAAUUUUGUUGGUGGUUGUACAUUUUUUUUGUUUGACGUAUGAUGAAUGCAAUGCAGCCGUUAGAACAUAUGCCUUGUAGUAUUUGUCCAACUUUAGGUGAGAAAUUCUUAUUAGUGGUUCUUAGUCUGGCAGUUAGACAAUACAACAUUAAUUGAUAGUCAUUGACUUGGCCAGUGACUUGAGAUUAACAGUGGCUUGGCCAAUAAUUUGCCUAUUGACUUGUGAUUAACAUUAAACUUGGCCAAUGACAUACAAUAUGACAUGACCAGUGACAAGUGACUUGGUCAAUCCAGUAUGAUAUGACCAGUGACUAGA